rnacentral:rRNA from 1 species
GAUGAACGCUAGCUACAGGCUUAACACAUGCAAGUCGAGGGGCAGCACAGGGUGGCAACACUUGGGUGGCGACCGGCGCACGGGUGAGUAACACGUAUCCAACCUUCCCUUUACUCCGGGAUAGCCCAUCGAAAGAUGGAUUAACACCGGAUGGUUUCGCGGGAUUGCAUGAUAUCGCGAAUAAAGUUUUACGGUAAAGGAUGGGGAUGCGUUCCAUUAGCUUGUUGGCGGGGUAACGCCCACCAAGGCUACGAUGGAUAGGGGGUUCUGAGAGGAAGGUCCCCCCACAUUGGAACUGAGACACGGCCCAGACUCCUACGGGAGCAGCAGUGGGGAAUAUUGGGCAAUGGGCGCAAGCCUGACCCAGCAACGCCGCGUG